rnacentral:rRNA from 1 species
GACGAACGCUGGCGGCGUGCCUAAUACAUGCAAGUCGAACGAGACUUUCCUCGGUGGUAACACCUUUGAUUGUCUAGUGGCGAACGGGUGAGUAACACGUGAGAAACCUGCCCUGAAGAC